rnacentral:rRNA from 1 species
CCUACGGGAGGCAGCAGUGGGGAAUAUUGCACAAUGGGGGAAACCCUGAUGCAGCGACGCCGCGUGAGUGAAGAAGUAUUUCGGUAUGUAAAGCUCUAUCAGCAGGGAAGAAGAAAGACGGUACCUGACUAAGAAGCCCCGGCUAACUACGUGCCAGCAGCCGAGGUAAAACGUAGGGGGCAAGCGUUAUCCGGAUUUACUUGGGGUAAAGGGAGCGUAGGCGGCUGUGCAAGUCUGAAGGGAAAGCCCAGGGCUUAACCCUGGGAUUGCUUUGGAAACUGUGUAGCUAGAGUGCUGGAGAGGUAAGUGGAAUUCCUAAAGUAGCGGUGAAAUGCGUAGAUAUUAGGAGGAACACCAGUGGCGAAGGCGGCUUACUGGACAGUAACUGACGUUGAGGCUCGAAAGCGUGGGGAGCAAACAGGAUUAGACACCCGUGUAGUC